rnacentral:rRNA from 1 species
GAUCAUGGCUCAGAUUGAACGCUGGCGGCAGGCCUAACACAUGCAAGUCGAGCGGUAACACAGGGAGCUUGCUCCUGGGUGACGAGCGGCGGACGGGUGAGUAAUGUCUGGGAAACUGCCUGAUGGAGGGGGAUAACUACUGGAAACGGUAGCUAAUACCGCAUAAUGUCGCAAGACCAAAGAGGGGGGACCUUCGGGCCUCUUGCCAUCAGAUGUGCCCAGAUGGGAUUAG